rnacentral:rRNA from 1 species
AUGCAGACGAGCCCGGUGAUCACGGCCUGGACGGCGCCGACCACGGACGGCUUCUUGAAGAAGACGGCGUCGAGGCAGGUCCACACGAUGAGGCUCGCCGCCGUGCAGAUGUUGGUGUUCAGGAUGGCCAUGGAGGAGUCGACGUUGGCCGCGUACGGCCCGCCGCCGUUGAACCCGGCCCACCCCAUCCACAGCAGCCCGGCGCCGGUGAGCGCGAACAGGAUCCGCCGCAGUAGUCGAUGA